AUCCAGUUAGAGUUCUGUGAGGUUCCGUAUUGUAGAUCUAGUUAGAGUUCUGUGAGGUUCCGUAUUGUAGAUCUAGUUAGAGUUCUGUGGGGUUCCGUAUUGUAGAUCUAGUUAGAGUUCUGUAGGGUUCCGUAUUGUAGAUCUAGUUAGAGUUCUGUGAGGUUCCGUAUUGUAGAUCUAGUUAGUGUUCUGUGAGGUUCAGUAUUGUAGACCUACUUAGAGUUCUGUGAGGUUCAGUAUUGUAGAUCUAGUUAGAGUUCUGUGAGGUUCAGUAUUGUAGACCUACUUAGAGUUCUGUGAGGUUCAGUAUUGUAGAUCUAGUUAGAGUUCUGUGAGGUUCAGUAUUGUAGAAAGAAGACCAAUUUAGAGGACAUUUUGGAGGCUGUGCUUGUACUGGAUGC
ensembl:lncRNA